UAAAUAAAAACUAAAUUGAAUUAAAAAUAUCAUAUUUUUCCCUUUCCUCCAUUUAACCCCAUAGCUGGUUUGAAUAUGAGUAUUUCUUUAAUUAAGGGGAAAUUAACAAAAAUAUCCAAAAUCAAAAUCCAUUACCAGCAAACCUACACCACCAUCCUUGAGCCUUUAUAUUAUCAUGCUUGGAUUAGGAAUUUCCAAAGCAAAAAUAACAUCUUUUCAAGUGUUGAAGCCUUUCAAAAUUGUUGCAUUAGAUGGAUAUCUCGUGUGUUUUGCUGUUGAUAAAAUAAUUAUAAGGAUACAAAGUCAAAGAUUACGUAAAUUAACAUAUAAUCCAAAACUAAAAAGCUAUGAGACUUUUGGGUAUUUCUUUGAAUUUAGGUAUUUCAAAAAUCAAAGAGUACUAAAGAUUGAAUAUUAUUCCUUUCUUGAAAUUUCAUGGAAAAAAAAACGAAUGCUUAUGGUAAAGAUAUUAAUCUCCGAUUCAAUUAUUAAAUAAUUUUUUCCUAGUUUUUUCUGUCGUUUGGCACGUUUCUCUAUGCUCUUUGGCAUGAACUCUGCUGUAUAGCACGUUUACUUUUUGUUUAAUUUCCCGAUCUUUGAGAGUUGGGUUGCUACGAGUCUGUAGUCAACAUUUAUGAGGAGUGAUGGAAAAUGAUUUGGCAAAUCUGUCUCUGGGUGACGAAGAGGAUGAUACACUUUAACUAGGAGUAGAACCGGUGGAGCUUGAGAUUUCUUAUGACAAUUGUUUUGUAGGAACUUUUUUAACUUCGAGUGUUGUUAAUUUUCAAUCUAUGCGAUUUACUUUGGCAAAUGUUUGGCAUCCGAUUGGGGGUGUUUCUAUUUCAGAUCUAGGAGUUCGAUUUUAUCUUGAGGUAGAUGUGGAGAGUAUUGAACAUAAUGGACCUUGGAGUUUUAAUUCCCAUCUUUUGUUACUUCAUCGAUUGAGGGAGAGGGAGAUUCCUAUGGGAGUGGAAUUAAACUGGGUUGCGUUUUGGGUGCUUGUUCAUGACAUACCGCAUGGUUUUAUGUCAGAGAAUGUUGCGAAACAAUUGGGAAAUUUUAUAGGUGCUUUCCUUGAUUAUGAUACUUCAUUCAUUCAGUCGGGAAAUAUGAGGGUUAUACGAAUAAGGGUUAAAUUGGAUGUCUGAAGGUCUCUGCAAAGAAGGAAAAAGUUUGCUCUUCCCAAUGGUGUUGGUGCCUAUAUGCGCUUUGAAUACGAGAAAUUAUCACUAUUUUGCUUUUUGUGUGGUAGAUUGGGGCAUGGGAAAAGUUUCUGUCAGUUACGGGCCACUUUGUGGAAACAAAAUGUUGUCUUCCAUUGGGAUCUUUCACUGCGAGCGCCACCACGUAGGACUGUGGUUUGGAAGAGUAAGUGGUUAGUGGAGCGGGGGACUGGCGGUGGCAAAAAUUUGGGAAUUUUUUAUUUAAGGAAUGGGGGAUUAGAUUGGAUUCACAUAAAUGGUAUCCCACAAAUCAAGAAGCAAUGGGAGGAAUAAAUUUAAAUUUACUAAAAUUUGGGGGAAACAAAUUUAGAGGUUACUGCAUAAUGGGCCAAUCUAGUGGAAAAGUGACAGGCCCAAAUGUUAAUGUUCAACACGUUAAUUUUGAUGAGGAAAUGAGCUUUUUGAAAGGAGAGGAUGUUGUAGUUCUGCUAGUAGAGGGGUUCAAACGACCUCGUACUAAAGGAGGGUUUGGAUGGGCGAUUGGGUGCGGUGCGUUUAACUUACUUUUUGUCUCACGCUACAGUAUCGCUACAAUAUUUAAUCUCACCGCCACCGUUGUUUUUACACUAACCGCAGGUAAACGCACCACUUAUCCAAACUCACCCUAAGUUGAGCCAGUUUGAGGGAGGGACUUUAGAUGGAACGGGAGAAUUAAGAGACAAUGUUUCUUCUAGUUUUGAAGGUAUGAUAUCGGUAGGACUUGCUAAGCAGGCUAGCUGAACACAAUGAAACUGUUAAGUUGGAACGUCUGGGAUUAGGGAGUCAUCAGAUAGUUCAUUGUCUUCGAAAUAUGCUGAGAGACAUAAAUCUCUCUGUAGUCUUUUUGAUUGAGACAAAACUGAAUGCGUCACGAAUGGCUAUAGUUAGAAGAAAGUGUGGUUUCAAGAAGGUAUUGAUGUUGAUUCCGAUGGUAAGAGUAGGGGUUUGUCGAUGGGUUGGAAUGAUUAGUGUAAGAUUUCUUUGAGGUCAUAUUCAAUGAGACAUAUUGAUGUUAUGUUCGAGGAAAAUAGGGUGGGCCAUUCUUAGAUAUGUACGGGUUUUUUUGGGGCCCUUGAAGAGAGACUUCGAGAAGAAUCUUGGAACCUUUUGCGCCAGUUGAAUGAUUUGCCUAAUGUCCCAUGGUUAAUUAUUGGGGAUUUCAACAAGAUACUUGCUAGAUGUUAUUUUGAAUAAUUUGAGUAUAGUCAAAUGUUGUUUAAGAGUAUCUGAUUAGUUCCUAUUUUCUAGGGGUUUAGUAUCAACUUAGUUUCUAUUUUCUUGUGAUUUUUAGUUGUACUUUAACUUAUAUAAAAGCUUGACUAAUUGUUGAAUAAACAUGAGUUUUUUUCUUGUUAUUCUUUAACAAUGGUAUCAGAGCCUGGUUAGCAAAAUCGUGAGUGUAAGUGAAAGUAAAAGUUGAGAGUUUAAAAUAACAAGUUUGAAGCAACAGCAAUGGCCACGGAUAAUUUUGUUCAACCAGCAAUCUUACACUUUGAUGGUCAUUACGAUCAUCAGAGCAUGUUGAUAGAGAACUUCCUAAGGUCCAAAAAAUAUUGGGAUAUUGUUUCUUCCGAUAUUAUUGAACCGAAAGGAGAAACUCUGACACCAGCACAACGAUCAACUCAUGAAGCAGCAAAGCAUAGAGAGCAAAUAAGCAACUUAAGCUAGUCUAUUCAGAUCUUUGCGGUCCAAUCACACUGGUUUCAAACGGAGGUAAACGAUAUCUGAUCACAUUCAUUGAUAAUUUUAGUAAAAAGGUGUGGGUAUACUUAAAAGAAAAGGCUGAAGCUUUUGAAACAUUUAAGAAUUUCAAGAGUCCUGUUGAAAGGGAAAGUGGCAAUCUUAUCAAAGUUUUUUGUAUUAAUCGUGGAGGUGAGUACAUGUCUCUUGAAUUUAAUGAUUUUUGCACGAAGCAUGGAAUCUGUAGGCAACUUACAACAGCCUAUACACCACAACAAAAUGGUGGAUGUGAGAGGAAAAAUUGAACUAUUCUCAACAUGGUUCGUAGUCUACUACGAAGAAGCGUCAUUCCAAAGAAUUUUUGGCCAGAGGCAGUAAAUUGGAGUAUCCAUCUCUUAAACAGAAGCCCCACACUAGCUGUUUUGAAUAUGACUCCUAAAGAAGCUUGGAGUGGGCAGAGGCCAAUGAUUGAUUACUUCAAAAUUUUUGGGUGUAUAACAUACGCCCAUGUUCCAAAUCAAAAGAGGAAAAAACAUGAAGACAAGGGGGAAAAGUGUGUUUUUCUUGGAGUAAGUGAUCAAACAAAAGCUUACAAACUCUAUGAUCCCGUAACCAAGAAAAUUAUAAUUAAUCGUGAUAUAGUAUUUGAUGAAAAAAUGUUUUGGCCUUGGAAUUAUCAAGCUCAGGGUGCAGCACCAAUAGUGGUUGAUUUUGAUGAAAUUGAGGAGAAACGCCAAGAUCAGAAUUUACUCAAUAACAAAACUGAUCCUGUUGAAGCGGUGAUGCAUCAACCUGAUUCUGAAACAGCUACAACACCUAGUGGACGCCCUCAUCGCCAUCGACAAAGGGCAGCUUGGAUGCAAGAUUAUCAAGUGUUCAGAAUCGAUCGAAGUGAAAAUCCAUUAAUGGAUAGUGAUCCAAUUACUUUUGAUGAGGCAGUAAAGCAUAAAAAGUGGAGAGAAGAAAUGAAUGAUGAAAUUGAAGCAAUUGAGAAAAAUAACACUUGGGAAUUAACAAAUCUUCCCAAAGGCCAAAACACUAUUUGUGUCAAAUGGGUCUACAAGACUAAGCUGAACAAGGAUGGUGGCUGUAACAAAUACAAAGCGCGCCUAGUGGCAAAAGGCUACAAGUAAGAAUUUGGAGUGGACUACAAAGAAGUGUUUGCGCCGGUUGCGAGACUUGACACGAUUCAGUUGGUGAUUGCUUUAGUAACUCAAAAACCUUGGCCGAUUCAUCAAUUAGAUGUGAAAUCUACUUUUUUACAUGGUGAUCUUCACAAACAAGUAUUUAUCGACCAACCCCCUGGAUAUGUGAAGUCUGGUUGUGAGCAUAAGGUAUACAAACUAAAAAAGGUUUUAUAUGGAUUAUACAAGCUCCUCGUGCUUGGUACAGUAGAAUUGAAGCUUAUUUUUUGAAGGAAUGUUUUACCAUAUGUCCUUAUGAAUAUACUUUGUUUAUAAGAUUAGUCAUGAUAGAGAAUUACUUUUAAUAUGCUUGUAUGUAGACGAUCUUAUUUACACAGGGAAUGAUAGUGUCUUGAUGGAGAGAUUUAAGCAAUCCAUGAUGAAUGAAUUUGAGAUGGCAGAUUUCAACUUGAUGAACUAUUUCUUAGGCAUUGAAGUACAUCAAUUUGUUGUUGGUACUUUUAUUUGUCAAAAGAAAUAUGUGCAAGAGAUUUUAGAAAAGUUUCAGUUAAAGGAAAGGAUUGCAAUCCAGUUACCACACCAACUGAAGUUGGAUUAAAGCUCACCAAAGAGCCUGAUGGAAAGAAAGUAGACUGCACCAUGUACAAAUAAAUUGUGGGGAGUCUGAUGUACUUAACGGCAACAAGGCCAGGCAUCAUGUAUGGUGUUAGUCUCAUUAGUAGAUACAUGAAGAGUCCCACUGAAAAACAUCUUUAGGCUGCUAAGCGUAUUCUGCGCUAUUUAAAAGGGACUGCAUCUUUUGGACUGCUUUACAAGAAAGGAGAAAAUUCAGAUUUGUUUGGUUUCACAGAUAGCGAUUAUGCAAGGGAUAUUGAGGAUAGAAAAAGUACUUCAGGCUAUGUAUUUAUGCUUGGAUCAACAACUAUUUCAUGGUCUUCAAAGGAGUAACCCAUAGGCACUCUUUUAACAACAGAAGCCGAAUUUGUAGCAGCCACAUCAAGUGCUUGUCAAGUUGUUUGGUUGAGAAAGAUUCUUGGACAAAUUCAGUUCGUACAACAAGAGGCAACAACAAUCUUUUGUGACAAUAAUUCAGCCAUUAAAUUAUUAAAAAAUCUAGUUUUACAUGGGAAGAGCAAGCAUAUAGAUGUGAAAUAUCAUUUUUUGAGGGAUCUUUCUAAAGAUGGUGUGAUUGAUCUUAUUUUCUACAGAAGUGAAGAUCAAGUUGCUGACUUAUUCACUAAGCCCCUCAAAAUUGUAACAUUUCAGAAGUUUAGGAAGCUCCUUGGUGUUUGAUCGAUGGAUGCCUCAGCUUAGUGUUUUCACCUUUUGUCUUGUUUAAACUGAUUGGCAGCAAUAUCAGUUUAAUGGAGGGCAUGUUAGAUGUUAUUUUGAAUAAUUUGAGUAUAGUCAAAUGUUAUUUAGGAGUCUCUGGUUAGUUCGUAUUUUCUAGGGAUUUAGUAUAAACUUAGUUGCUAUUUUCUUAUUAUUUUCAGUUGUACUUCAGCCUAUAUAAAGGCUUGAUUAAUUGUUGAAUAAACAUGAGUUUUUUUCUUGUUAUUCUUUAACAAUAAUUUACUAAGAAGAAAGGUAGAUUACUGUGAAGAGAACGUCUGAUGCGAGGGUUCUGGUCGAUGUUGGCUGAUUGUUGUUUGUCUGACUUGGGAUAUAGCAGUCAGUGGUACACGUGGGAGAAAGGAUAUUUUGAAGAAAAUAAUAUUAGAGAAAGGUUAGAUAGAGGCGUGGCAAAUGAUGAUUGGAGAUUUUGCUUUUCGAAUUACAGUUCAGAUCAUUUGACCCAUUCUUUUUAUGAUCACUACCGAUUGUUGGUAAACACUGAUAAAGAUGGAAGUAGUCACAAAGUUUCAUAUUUUAGAUUUGAGGUGGCUUGGAUUAUGGAGGAAUCGUGUGAAAAUGAGGUAAAAAGGUUAUAGGAUUCUUCUACUGGCUUGGUCCUUCACUGUCUAAGAAUGAUGGGUGUUGGGUUAGAAAGCUGGUUCGAAUCAUUAAGGAAAAAAUGAUCUUUGACAAAAAAUGGUUUGUGAAAAGGCGACAAUCAUUAAAUGAUUCUUACCCAACAGAUGAGAUAUUGAGAGAGGCCAUAAAGGUGAAGAUUGCUUUGAAUAUAGAGGCCGAUAAAGAAGAGAUCUAUUGGGAGCAACAUGUAAGGGCGAACUGGCUAAGGAAUAGGGAUAGAAAUACCUCGUUUUUUCACAAUUUUGCGUCACAAAGAAGGCGAAAAAAUAGAGUAGUAAACUUUAGAUAUGAGACUGGUGUGUUGUAUGAGGGUAAUUUGAACCUUUUGCAUAUUACAAAAUAGUAUUUCCGCACUAUUUUUUCUUCAAAUAACUCAUAGGCUGUCAAAGAUAUUCUAAUGGGAAUUACGCCUUGCAUUACUUCGGAGAUGAAUGAGAACUUGAUGCACAAUUUUACAAUUGAAGAGGUGUGUGAUGCAGUUAAGCCAAUGAGCCCAUUAAAGGCGUCGGGGGAAGACGGGAUUGGUGUUAUAUUUUAUCAGAGGUUCUAGCAUAUACUGGGUGAGGAGGUGACCGAAUAUUACAUUCAAAUUUUAGAUGGAAGGCAUGACAUUGUCGAGAUAAAUGGUACUUGAAUUGUUUUAAUUCCUAAAGUCAACAACCCGCAGAAUAUGAAUCAAUUCAGGCUAAUUAGCUUGUGCAACAUUUUAUACAAAAUUAUUUCCAAAAUACUAGUGAAUAGACUACAGGUUGUGAUCCAAUUUCGUAUUAGCGAGGCACAAAGAGUACUUUUGUGCCUAGAAGGCUUAUUUCGAAUAAUAUCCUAGCUGUGUAUGAGAUAUUAAAUUUCCUGAAGCACAAGAGGUUGGGAAAAUUGGGAUUGUUAGUGUUCAAAUUGGAUAUGAGCAAAGCAUACGACAAAAUUGAGUGGUCGUUCCUACGGUUGAUGCUUAAACAAAUGAGUUUCUCUAAUUCAUGGGUUCAGAUGUUAAUGAGAUGUGUGGAAUCUGUAUCGUACUCUGUGGUAAUUAAUGGAGAAGCAGGUGAAUAAUUUUGCUCAUCUCGUGGCUUACGACAAGGCGACCCUCUCAGCUCAUAUUUAUUUCUGAUAUGUAGCGAGGGCCUCUCAGUUUUGUUAGAAUGGCGGUGCUCAAUGGAAGGCUGAAGGGGAUUCGUAUAAAUAGGUACACACCGAUUGUUACCCAUAUACUUUUUAUAGAUGACAAUAUCAUCUUCGGUUGCGGGUGCUUACGAAUUAAAGAAUAUUCUGGAUAAAUAUGCUAUUGAUUCGGGGUAAUUGGUUAACUAUGAUAAAUUCUAAAUUUUUUUAGUACAAAUGUGAACCGAGAAGUCAAAAUAGAGGUAUGUCAAGCUCUUGGUGUUCAUUCUAUUGAAAAUUCUAAAAAAUACCUAGGUCUUCCUUCGAUUGUUGGCAGAAAUAAAAAGAUGGCUUUUCGGGUUCUGAAGGAGAAGUGUUUGGGCAGAUUGCAUAACUGGGGCUCUAGAUUCUUAUCUAUAAAAGGUCGAGAGAUACUGAUAAAGACAGUUUUUCAAGUAAUCUCAAUGUUUUCCAUGUCGUGUUUCUUCCUAGCUCGUUUUGUAAGGAGCUUGAAGCUAUGAUGGCCCGUUUUUUGUAGCAAAAACUGGGUGAUAAAAAGGGACCACAUUGGUGCUCAUGAUAGAAACUCUGUAAUUUGAAGGAGUAUGGGGGCAUGGGAUUUAAGGAUUUGGCAAAGUUUAAUAUUACCUUGUUGGCAAAACAAAGCUGGCGCUGGCGAUUGCUUGAAAACCCUAGCUCACUAUAGGCGCGUCUAAUUAGAGAAAUGUACUAUCCUAACUCUAAUUUUUUAGAAUCCACUUUAGGUACAAAUCCCUCUUUAACAUGGAUGAGUAUCUGGAGUGCAAAAUGUUUACUAAAAUCUAGUCUUAAAUGGAGGAUAGGCGUUGGGCUCUCGAUUUCUAUUUGGAAAGGCUAUUGGCUACUUGGUAAAAAGAUGGUAAAGGUAAUUUUAGAGCAGGUGUCUACGGUUGACAAGGUUUGUGAUUUAAUUUUUCAUGAUUCUAAUUGCUGGAAUAGCGAAUUAAUUAAAUCCAUUUUCUGUGAUGAAGAGGCCAAUGCCAUUAUGAGUACGAUUUUAAAGCACCCCUCUCCAGUUGUUGUAAUCCAUUGGACCCAUCCACCAUCGUCUUGGGUCAAAAUAAAUAUGGAUUCAAGGUACUCCAGCCAAAGAAAUAAGGCAAUAUCAGGUUUUAUUGCUAGAGAUGAGCAAGGACAUAUAUCGGGUUCGAGUUAUCGAUUUCAUACCUGGGUUAGCACGGUGGUCAUGGCUGAGGUAGUGGCUGUUUUGCAUGGUCUCCUUUUUGCACACGAUUUGGGUUUUAGGCGAAUCGUCCUGAAAAGUGAUUCGUACACUGUAAUACUGAAGUUACAAGGAGAAGUAGAGGAUUAUUCAGCCAUUCAGCCUCUUUCUUGGGAUGUAAAAGCUGUUUCGAGAAGAUUUGAGACUUGUCUCUUCAAUUCACGCCUAGAGAGAGCAACAUUGCUCCUCAUGCAAUGGCAGCCAGCAGUCAGGAUGGUUUGUGCGAUCGAUUCUGAGUAGAAGAUGCUUCGCUGGAGGUAUGUGAAAUCGUUGCGACAGAUCGUAGAUGUAUCAACCCUCUGUGACUUGGGAUUUUUUUGGGUUCGUCUGAGAUUGGGGUUUUUAAGUUUAUUUGGGUAUUUGGUCACCUCAAUCUCCCUUCCUGCUUUGGAUGCUUCUCUCUGUAGGGAGGAUUACGGUCGUUUUAGUGGCUUUGAAAGGUUGUGGCUAGGUGUUUCUGUUUUAAGUUUUUGUCUCAAUUUGAUGUUUGUUUUAUUUUUUGUUGUAACCAAGUAUUUGUUUGUUUUAAUGUUUUGUUGUUUCUUUUAUUUUUGGGUUUUUGUAGCUUUGUUUGGGUCUAGCUUUGUGUUUUGUACCCAGCCUAUUUUGAUUAAUAAAACAAAAUGAACCAUUAUUCAAAAAAAA
rnacentral:lncRNA from 1 species